AUACGUAGGGAGCGAGCGUUGUCCGGAAUUACUGGGUGUAAAGGGUGCGUAGGCGGGGAUGCAAGUCAGAUGUGAAAUGUAUGGGCUCAACCCAUGAACUGCAUUUGAAACUGCAACUCUUGAGUGAGGUAGAGGUAAGCGGAAUUCCUAGUGUAGCGGUGAAAUGCGUAGAUAUUAGGAGGAACAUCGGUGGCGAAGGCGGCUUACUGGGCCUUUACUGACGCUGAGGCACGAAAGCGUGGGGAGCAAACAGGAUUAGAUACCCUGGUAGUCCACGCUGUAAACGAUGAAUACUAGGUGUGGGGGGACUGACCCCCUCCGUGCCGCAGUUAACACAAUAAGUAUUCCACCUGGGGAGUACGAUCGCAAGAUUGAAACUCAAAUGAAUUGACGGGG
rnacentral:rRNA from 1 species